rnacentral:rRNA from 1 species
CCUACGGGGGGCAGCAGUGGGGAAUAUUGGACAAUGGGGGGAACCCUGAUCCAGCCAUGCCGCGUGUGUGAAGAAGGCCCUCGGGUUGUAAAGCACUUUCAGUGAGGAAGAACGCCUGGUGGUUAAUACCCAUCAGGAAAGACAUCACUCACAGAAGAAGCACCGGCUAACUCCGUGCCAGCAGCCGCGGUAAUACGGAGGGUGCGAGCGUUAAUCGGAAUUACUGGGCGUAAAGCGCGCGUAGGUGGCUUGAUAAGCCGGUUGUGAAAGCCCCGGGCUCAACCUGGGAACGGCAUCCGGAACUGUCAAGCUAGAGUGCAGGAGAGGAAGGUGGAACUCCCGGUGUAGCGGUGAAAUGCGUAGAGAUCGGGAGGAAUACCAGUGGCGAAGGCGGCCUUCUGGACUGACACUGACACUGAGGUGCGAAAGCGUGGGUAGCAAACAGGAUUAGAUACCCGUGUAGUC